AGAGUUUGAUCCUGGCUCAGGACGAACGCUGGCGGCGUGCUUAACACAUGCAAGUCGAACGGAAAGGCCCAGCUUGCUGGGUGCUCGAGUGGCGAACGGGUGAGUAACACGUGGGUGAUCUGCCCCUGACUUCGGGAUAAGCUUGGGAAACUGGGUCUAAUACCGGAUAGGACAAUCGUUUAGUGUCGGUUGUGGAAAGUUUUUUCGGUUAGGGAUGAGCCCGCGGCCUAUCAGCUUGUUGGUGGGGUAAUGGCCUACCAAGGCGUCGACGGGUAGCCGGCCUGAGAGGGUGGACGGCCACAUUGGGACUGAGAUACGGCCCAGACUCCUACGGGAGGCAGCAGUGGGGAAUAUUGCACAAUGGGCGCAAGCCUGAUGCAGCGACGCCGCGUGGGGGAUGACGGCCUUCGGGUUGUAAACCUCUUUCGACAGGGACGAAGCUUUUGUGACGGUACCUGUAUAAGAAGCACCGGCUAACUACGUGCCAGCAGCCGCGGUAAUACGUAGGGUGCGAGCGUUGUCCGGAAUUACUGGGCGUAAAGAGCUCGUAGGUGGUUUGUCGCGUCGUCUGUGAAAUUCCGGGGCUUAACUUCGGGCGUGCAGGCGAUACGGGCAUAACUUGAGUGCUGUAGGGGAGACUGGAAUUCCCAGUGUAGCGGUGAAAUGCGCAGAUAUUGGGAGGAACACCAGUGGC
rnacentral:rRNA from 1 species